rnacentral:rRNA from 1 species
UACGUAGGGGGCAAGCGUUGUCCGGAAUCAUUGGGCGUAAAGCGCGUGUAGGCGGUCCGGUAAGUCCGCUGUAAAAGUCGGGGGCUCAACCCUCGGAUGCCGGUGGAUACUGUCGGGCUUGAGUACGGAAGAGGCGAGUGGAAUUCCUGGUGUAGCGGUGAAAUGCGCAGGAUAUCAGGAGGAACACCAAUUGCGAAGGCA